rnacentral:rRNA from 1 species
AACGAACGCUGGCGGCAUGCCUAACACAUGCAAGUCGAACGAGCCCUUCGGGUCUUGUGGCGCACGGGUGCGUAACGCGUGGGAACCUGCCCUUAGGUUCGGCAUAACUCCCCGACAGGGGUGCUAAUACCGGAUAAUGUCUUCGGCCCAAAGAUUUAUCGCCUUUGGUUGGGCCCGCGUUGGAUUAGCUAGUUGUUAGGGUAAAAGCCUACCAAGGCGACGAUGCAUAGCUGGUCUGUGAGGAUGAUCAGCCACACUGGGACUGAGACACGGCCCAGACUCCUACGGGAGGCAGCAGUGGGGAAUAGUGGAAAGUGGGCGAAAGCCUGAUCCAGCAAUGACGGGUGAGUGAUGAAGGCAUUAGGGUUGUAAAGCUCUUGUACCCGGGAUGAUAAUGACAGUACCGGGAGAAUAAGCUCCGGCUAACUACGUG